AGAAGAAAAACUAAAUAUAGGAUCCAAAAAAUGCCCAUUUGCCCCCCCGUCAAUCUCUUCCUCUUUCUCUCUGGCGGCUUCCCUCCUCCUCCGCCUCCUCCUCCGCCUCCGACGCCGCCUCCGACGCGGCAUCACCCUCUCCCUCAUCAUCUCCCUCUGCGAUCGCGGAGUCAAUCCCGAAGCCCUAGCCGCCCUCGUCCGCGAUCUCUCUUGUUUGCAGGACAUGUGCUUGACAAGUAUCGAAAUCGUCUUCUUCCGGAGAAUGCUGAAGCUCAAAUUUGUACUGGUUCUUGGUUAGACGGGAUUCCUUCUCUGGCAGACAUUGAAGAAGGAAAUUUAUUAGUACAUGAUUUCAGUAAUCUAGAGGUUUCUGAAUCGGAAGGCGAAAGUGAUUAAGUUGCAUUUGGAGCUGAAGUUGCUGUUGUUGCUGAUGCAAUUCUUGUUGCUGCUGCAGCUGUUGAAGAUGAUGUUGCUCCUCUAACUGAAGUUUCAAAAAUUGCUCCAACUCUGGCAUAUACUGGUUAACUGACUGUUGAUGCUGCAGAGAACCUUGAAUUUGUUCAAUAAAUGGCACAGACGAAUUCUGACGAGAAAGCAAGCGCUGCUGCUGAAGCUGUUGUUGCUGUUGUUGCUGUUGUUGUUGCUGCUGCUGAAGUUGCUGAAGCUGCUGCUGCCGAAGCAGUUGUUGUUGCUGCUGCUGCUGCUGAAGCUGUGAUUUUGGUUGAUUUUGGUUGAUUCUGUAAUAUGUUUAUACUGUUUCCUUGCGUUGUGAUUAUUGUCAGUCGCAGCAUUGUCAAUUUGGGGGCUAAGAUUUACUUUCUCGUAAAAUCCCUCUCUUUUGAUCUUU